rnacentral:rRNA from 1 species
AGAGUUUGAUCCUGGCUCAGAAUCAACGCUGGCGGCGCGCUUAACACAUGCAAGUCGAACGAGAAAGCGGGGGCAACCUCGCAAGUAAAGUGGCGUACGGGUGAGUAACACGUGGGUAAUCUACCUCCGGGUGCGGAAUAACGCUGGGAAACCGGCGCUAAUACCGCAUAAGCUCGAGAGGAAAGCAGGCAACUGCGCCGGGAGAGGAGCCCGCGGCCGAUUAGCUAGUUGGUGAGGUAACGGCCCACCAAGGCAAAGAUCGGUAGCCGGCCUGAGAGGGCACACGGCCACACUGGCACUGAAACACGGGCCAGACUCCUACGGGAGGCAGCAGUGGGGAAUCUUGCACAAUGGGGGCAACCCUGAUGCAGCGACGCCGCGUGAGCGAUGAAGCCCUUCGGGGUGUAAAGCUCUUUCGGCAGGGAAGAUGAUGACGGUACCUGCAGAAGCAGCUGCGGCUAACUACGUGCCAGCAGCCGCGGUAAUACGUAGGCAGCGAGCGUUGUUCGGAGUUACUGGGCGUAAAGGGUGUGUAGGCGGUUCUUCAAGUUUGGUGUGAAAUCUCCCGGCUCAACCGGGAGGGUGCGCCGAAAACUGGGGGGCUAGAGUGCGGGAGGGGAGAGUGGAAUUCCUGGUGUAGCGGUGAAAUGCGUAGAUAUCAGGAGGAACACCGGUGGUGUAGACGGCUCUCUGGACCGUAACUGACGCUGAGACACGAAAGCGUGGGUAGCAAACAGGAUUAGAUACCCCGGUAGUCC